rnacentral:rRNA from 1 species
UACGUAGGAGGCGAGCGUUGUCCGGAAUCACUGGGCGUAAAGCGCGUGUAGGCGGUGAGGCAAGUCUGCUGUGAAAGCGCCCGGCUUAACUGGGCGAGGUCGGCGGAAACUGCCCUACUUGAGGCCGGUAGAGGCGGGUAGAAUUCCCGGUGUAGUGGUGAAAUGCGUAGAGAUCGGGAGGAAUACCAGUGGCGAAGGCGGCCCGCUGGGCCGAGCCUGACGCUGAGACGCGAAGGCGCGGGGAGCGAACGGG